AAAACGAAUAAGUCGUAUAAAGUUCUAGAUAAAAAAUUUAUAAUGACUAAGUUUUAUCUAUAAGUCUUGACCAAAUUACGUGCCAGCAGUCGCGGUAAUACGUAGAAGACAAGUGUUAUUCAUCUUUAACAGGUUUAAAGGGUACCUAGACUGAAAAUCAAGCCAUAGAAGGGACUAAUUUUCUAGAGUUUUAUUUUUCAAGGUGGAACUAUCUGAGUAACAAUAAAAUGUACAAAUACAUUUGGGACGGAUAGCGGCGAAGGCAAUCUUGUAUGUAAAAACUGACGUUGAGGGACGAAGCCCGGGGGAGCGAGAAGGAUUAGAUACCCUAGUAGUCCAGGGAGUAAAUGAUGAGUGCCAUAGGCUAGAAACUAGUUUAUAAAUGAAAGUGUAAGCAUUCCACCUCAUGAGUAAAGCGGCAACGUUGAAAUUGAAAUCAUUAGACCGUUUCUGAAACCAGUAGUGAAGUAUGUUAUUUAAUUCGAUGAUCCGCGAAUAACCUUACCACCUCUUGAAUGAAUUUUUUUUUUAAUCACAAGCGCUGCACGGUUGUCUUCAGUUAAUGUCGUGAGAUUUUGGUUUGUUCCAUUAAUUAACGAAAACCCUUGUUUUAUUUAUAGAUAGAGCAGUUCACUAUUAUAUUGGAUGAUAAAUGGGAUCAAGACAAAU
rnacentral:rRNA from 1 species